CUUGAGUCACUUAUGACUACACUUUCGAGGCUCACAACUUCUUUGUUCGACAUUUGAGGAUUCUAUUAACAUGACUAAGUAAAGGGCAUGGGUCGGAUACCAUGUUAGAAAUCACGAUUUUCCACAAUUAUAUGAUAUUGUCCACUUUGUGCAUAAACUCUCAUGGUUUUCCUUUUGGUUUCCCAAAAAGGCCUCAUACUAAUGAAAAUAGUGUUCCUUACUUAUAAACCCAUAAUUUUCCUCUUAAUUAGCUAAUGUGGGACUACUCCUUUCAAUAAUCCUCCCCACUCAAUUCUUUUGAACUUGUACCUGCUCCCAAAACUUUUUGUGGUUUUUGUCUGGCUUACAAAUGAUUCAAAAAACAAAGUUUUUUGUGGUUUUGUCUGGCUUAUAAAUGAUUCAAAAAGACGAAAAGGAGAAAUCAGCGCUGGCAGAAGAGGGUAUUUGCCUGUCCAAACUUGGAUGGCUGCUCGAUUUACCCUGUGCUCAUGGCCACUCGAUUGUAUGAGAGAUCACAAGGUCGCUGAUAGAUUGGUUCACAUUUCCCUUUCUUUUGAAGGCUCCUUGUCACUUGGCAGGUCUCCAAUGGGAAGAGCAGAGCUUUCAACGGAGUUUGUUGAGCAGUGGGGAGGGGCUCUCGAAUGAGAGAGGAAGUGGAGAGGAAGCAAAUGGCCAUGGAAGAAGAUGUCAUCUGCUGGAGACAAAUCAAUGGUGAAGGAAGAUGGGGUUUUGGUUUUGUCUGUUUGGAGUGAAACUGAGAAGGAAAAUUCAUGAGAAGGCGAUGAAGAUGCUGAAGAAGGAGAUGAGGAAGCUGGACUUUGUUCUUCAAGGUUGACUCGGAGACCUGCGACCUUGGCUUUACAACGAAUGAAGGGGAGCUCAAAGAGAUUUCUCCCAAAGUAGCUUAUGUAGUGGUCGAACGGCAGAAAGCUCGCUAGGUUUCGCUUCCCUCCCUUUCCUUUUUCAAUGAAGUGGAAAGUUUAAACUUAGUAGUCGGCAUUCUACAAGUGACUUGUCGAGUCUACGAAAGAUUCAAGUACCAAAUUUCUCCUUAGAAUUAAUUCUAAGAUAUUAAAUUUCUUAAUUAAUCUCUAAAUAAACUAUGGCCAUUGUCACCCUCACAACUAACAUAAAAAUAAUUAAAUUUGUAUAUUCUUUUGAUUUGGUUGAUUAAUGUCUACACAAAGGUUGGGUUUGGUAA